rnacentral:rRNA from 1 species
CACGUAGGCGGCCGGGUAAGUCUCACUGUGAAAGCCCGGGGCUCAACCCCGGGAGGCCAGGGGAUACUGCUCGGCUGGAGACAGGUAGAGGCUGGUAGAAUUCCGGGUGUAGCGGUGGAAUGCGUAGAGAUCCGGAGGAAUACCCGAGGCGAAGGCGGCCAGCUAGGCCUGAUCUGACGCUGAGGUGCGAAAGCGUGGGGAGCGAACA